rnacentral:lncRNA from 1 species
GAACACCAAAGAGCCUCAUCCCUUGGAUGGGAUACCUGAGCAUUAGUCCACACUGGCUCCCCAGCUUCCCAUCAUAAUUGAGCUCCAAUCGUACCCCUGCUACCUGGCCGAUAGUGCCCAGGUGUCCUUUAUUUGGCUGCCUUUCCUAUCUUGUCUUACUUCUGCUCCUGCUGGGUUUCUCUGUCUCCUUGCCCUAGAGUUGUUGUCUCAGCAUUUGGUUCUGGGGAUACCCAACUAAGGUACUAGAUGAAGUUCACUAGAGCCAGUUGUCACUGGGGACUGUGUGAUGUGGACAUAGUGCUGGCAGCCAGCAUCUGGGGGAUGUUGAGGAUGGAAUCCUAUUGAUGUGACUAGAGUUCAUUUAUCAGAACUGGAUCACUGCAACCUGAAUCCAGUAACAUCCAUGCUGACACAUAGCUCUGGGCAAGAGCUAAUGGAAUGCCUCCUUGAUCAGGCUGAUUGGGCCUGGGGGCAGGAGGCUGGGCUGUGGCUUAGGACACAGUAAACUCAGCUGUGGUCAGAAUCUGAGGAAACAGCCUGAUACUGAUGAUUAAUCCUCCAAUCCAGCUUCAGAAGACUGGCACAAUUUUGUCUUUCUGGUUUGCAAAAGGGCAACACUGUGCUUUGUCAAGCCACAGCAAGGAAAAGUUGCUUCUUUAGAACCUCUUUUCAGAUUUGGCAGACAUUAGUUUAAAAAAUCUUUCUGCCUGGAUUCUCUCUUUCAUCUUCUCUGCUCAUGAAUCACGAGGGAAUACAGGCUGCUCUAAAAGACUUCACAUUUGUCCUGACCCAGCUAAAUUGCAUGCCAGGUAUACAGGUCAGGACUCUGUCUCUUACAAGUGACAGAAACCCAACUAAAACCAGACUAGGCAGAAAGAGAAUUUAUCACUUCAGAUAAGUGGGAAUAGUCCCAGGUUAGUUUAGAGAGUGGGAAGAAUAGGAAUAGCCAAAAAAUCCAGGGACUCAUAGCCUGGAUACCAUUCUUGACACAGGCUAUCUCUACUCUUCUUUGUGUAUUCAUCUUAUUCUCUCUCACUGCCCAAGGCACCUUGAAUCCCCGCAGCAGUCCAAGAGUCACUGACAUGCUCUCAGCUUAACAAUGCCAGCAGAAAGAGAUCUGUGUUAUCACUUCCCUGGGAAGACACUGAUUAGCACUGCCUGGGUCUUACAUCUGUUUCAUGGCCCAUAUAAUAGACAAU